AGCCCAAUUCCGUCCCACUUGUGUGCUUCCACCUGUUGAUCCAUUUUUCACAUAUUUUUGUCAGGGAUUUAGAGGGAUGACUUUGCCACUUUACGAUCAAUGCAAAAGGGAAUUUGGUGCAAGCAGUACCCGCAAUAUGUCCGACCCUGCCGACAAACCAUUCCUUCAAAGCAACUAUGUUACUCGUUGUGUGAGAAAAGUAGAUAAGUAUCCCUUUGUGUUUACUGACGGCAAUCAACUUAAGGUUAAAAAAGAAGUUAUGAUGGGAACCAAAUGCGUUAAAGAUGGAAUUAUGGACCCUAACAAUGUUUGCUUCCACGGUGCUUGCACGUUCUUAUCACUUUGCAACUCAAACAACCAACCAAAAGCAACGCCAACACCGCCAACAACCCAACCUCGACCAAUACUCGCUACAACAUCCGUUACUCGUCCAGCGACCACAGCAUUGCCCACCGAGUGUCUGUGUUCGAACUCCGAUUGUUGCCAGAGCGUGUACAGGAGACGGAGGACGUGUUGCCCACAAUGCAAGCGUAGGGGGUCAAGCUGUAUUAUUAAGUGAUAGUUCAACAGGAUACGGAGGAAGAAGACACACAAAUAGAUACAAGUGAAAAUAUGUUUGUCUGAUUUAACAAUGAGAGCAGAUGUUACCGUCUC